UUAACUCAAAUUUGUAUGGAGUUGGAACGUUUGCCUAUGUUUGUUGCCAGGGGCGUCGUUCCAACUGCACCCAAAUUUGAGUUA
rfam:Bombyx mori DNA, contig: Bm_scaf101_contig36055, strain: p50T/Dazao, build 2, whole genome shotgun sequence.